CAUGCCCAUAUCGUGGAGCUGCUUUGCCUAGUAGUCUCCACAACAGACAACUGGAGACAUCUCAGAUGACACAAAGACCCAGCAUCGUGGAUUCUCAAGGUUUUCGUUCCUAGAGGAUGAUGGAGUUGGGGCAAGGGGGCAGGCUGGUACAAUUUCUUUGGGUCCUACAAGGCGAAGAGAACUGUUUUUGCAUAAUAUGAAUAGGAAUAAUAUAAAAAGGAACGUUAUGCAGACAUGAACUUCCUAACUCCACGGAGGAAGGAGGAGAACCCUGCCUCUAGGAGGAGAACACUGCUGGGUGGGUGAUGUGCUGGGUGGCAAGAGGAUGUGGUUGCAGAUCCUACAGACCUGGAGGAGCCAAGGAGUGUGUGCACCCACAUGUGUGUCCCGCCCAGAGAGUGCAGAGUAAGGGUGUGUCUGCCCUGUCUCAAGGUGAGGGUUGUCCUAGUGAAGCAGAUCAACCUAAGCCUCGGUGCCUUGUGGGACACCACAUAGGAGGCCAAGCCCCUGCGGGCUGAAGUUGGACCCGAUCUCAAAACAGAGACGUUGUGCUCGACGGCAUCAUGCUUUAGAUGUUGACCAGGCACAUGGCCCCUGCUCAGGCUGCCCUCCAUGUGAGAACAGUCUGAGAUACCUUUGCUGGACAUCAGUCAAGAUCAUUCUGCAUCUCAAAAGUGACCUUGUGGUUCUGUGUCCAGGUCCUCGAUGCUGCCUCCCCUCACCAACCCCAGUCACCCUGGGACCUGUCCUCUUCUGCCGCCUGCAUGCCACGUAUCCCUUUGUGAACUGCCUGCACGGCCUACCCGGUAAACUUUGUGAAAUUCUACCCCACUCUUCCUUUCCCAACCUCACCUGUGGUUUUCCAAAUGAGCUUUUAGCAGCAGAACCCUUUCUUUGAACACAGUCUUAGAAGCCACCCCAUCUACAAACAGCCACAAGCACUGCUGUUGUGGAGGAAAGGGCUUACCACCAAUCUCCUGACCUUGACAGGACUCUCAGAGGUCUUCCUACCUGCGCUCCUUUGCUUAUCGUGACAGUUACAAAUUACAGAGGCCCUAGAGCCGUCCUUGGCCCUCUCCCCACUGUCUACACCCUCCAUAUACUCCACCCUGUCUUAUCCCUGUAUCCCUCACCUCUUACCAGGAUAAUGUCCUCACUGACCUACAUACCCUCUCACCAGCCAUCCCUCCCUGGGCUCUGCCACGUGGUCUUCCUAAAGCACGGUCUGGUCACAUCAGGCCUGGAGGCCUUCCCUUGAGACCCAUCUGCUUGCCUCUCCAAGGUGAUUUCCCCCACCCCCCAUGUCAGCUCCACCAUCCAUAUACCGUCAGUAUUAAUCUUUGUAGAAUGUCACAGUAAGCACUUUACAUGGGUUAUUUCCGUGACGUAGAUACUAAUAUGAUCUCUGAGAAUGAGAAGAGCAGUCUCUGACAUUGGGAGCUGGCCUGGCGCUCACAGCAAGGCCAUGGGUUCUCCUGUUGGACAUGGACCAUCUUGCAGAGGCACUCCAUUGUGAGAGAGUGAGACAAAACAUCAUAGCCGUGCCCAAGCAAGCGCCCUGAGUCACCCACAGAAACUCAGACAAGCUCUCUCCCAGCCAAUAGCAACGACCCCUGCUCUUUCAUCGGCUACAGAUGAGCCUCCCUCUGCCCCGCCCUUCUAACAGAUAAUCACUUAUUGAGAUGUCCCUGCUUCCUGACAGCAUCCAAUCCACGCAGAGUUUCCCUGUCUGUCAAAUAGAGGUGUCAGUGCCCUGCCAAAGGCCACCAGACACACACAGAGUUGGAUGAGCUUGUAUGCCUUGUUCUGUGAGUGGGAUGCACACCAUGGGCUGGGGGGUGUCUCUAACAGGUGUUGGGAAGAAUAACUGAGGGGUAUGGGCUUUGGUUGGGGGAUGUAUGGGCCGCUGGUGGUUGGCAUAUCUGGAGGAGGAGUCCCCAGGCAAAGGGAAGGUCGUGUAGAGGCCUGAGGUCAGGGUGGACCUGGGUGCUCGUGGCUGGAGCUGCAUGCAGUGGGUUGUGUUGUUAUCUUCAAAGUGCAGUAUGAAGACUUCCUUUAGUUAAGGUAGCCCUUUAAAAAAAUGUUUUUUUAUUGUGGUAAUAUAUAGAUAACAUAAAAUUUACCAUUUUAACCAUUUUUAAGACCUAAAAUUUACCAUCUUAGCCAUUUUUAAGGAUACAGUUCAAUGGCAUUAAGUACAUUUCUUGUUGUUGUGCAACCAUCACCACUAUUCAUCUCCAGAAUUUUUUUCGUCAUCUCUAACUGAAAUGUGCCAAGAAACUCUGAAACUCUGACCAAGAUGGACUGAACUUGCUCUCAUGCCUGAGACAACCAAGAAAUGGACUAAUAUGUGAAGCAACAGUUCUCAGAACCUGGACAUUGUGCAACAAAGCUCAGUGACUCCUGAGAGACGAGAAACCAGUGGGCUGAGCCCUUACAGUUGCCUCAUCUCACCACCGCGAGUGUCUUCAGGCUGCAGGGCAGGGAGGGGAAUCCCACACAGAGCAAGGUGGCUGGAAGUCCCAGGGCAGAGUGCAGGUGGGGAGAAAUUUACAGAGAGGACUUGGGAACCUGCAGCCGCUCCCCCUCAAGUGUUCAGUAGAGAACUAAUCAGCACAUGUGUGUGUGCAGAAGCAACCCAGAGCCAGGGAAAGAACUGUCCAAAAGGGUCACACUGCCAUGGUUGCACAAGGCAGAGAGUGGUGUCGGUUACCAGCAGCCACCCUGGAAAAACUCUUGGUUCAUGGAACAGUGGGAAGAGUACGCGGGAGGGUCUUGCCUCGGGAGUGAGUCAUAGCUCACCCCAGACUGAUCACUGCUCAAACCCCACCUAACGUAUCAGAGAAAGAUCUGAAAGGAUCAAAAUGUUUCCUGGCCACUGUGUCCCAGAGCAAAGCUCAAGAAUAUUUACAAGAAUACAAAAUACCCAACACUCAACAAGGUAAAAUUUACAAUGUCUGGCAUCCAAUCUAAAAUUGUCAGGAAUAUAAAGAAGGACGUAAAACAAGGAGUUAAGUGCAGACACAGAGGUUACAUAAAGAGACCCAAAUAUAACUUCCAGAAGUAAAAAUUACAAUGUCUGAGUUGAAAAAUACCGUAAGUGGUAUUAGCAGCAGAUUGGAUGUUGCUGAAGAAAGGGUUGAAGACACAGCAGUAGGAACUAUGCCAAAGAUGUGAAGAGAAAAGAGAAUAAAUUGACAGCAUCAGGGGCACCUGUGGGGCAGCCUCACGUGGCCUGACACACCUGUAAUGACCGUCCCAGAAAGAAGGGACACAAACGGGAUGAAAAGAAAUAGUGGAGAAAAUGCCGGAUCUUUCCCAAUUUGAUGAAAACCCUAACCCUCAAUGAACCCCAAGCACAGGAACAUGAAGGAAAGUACCAAGGCACAAUAUAAUCAAAUUGCUCAAAACCAAUGAUAAAGAGGAAAAAUUUAAAACACCCAGAGAACAAAGAUAUUUUACAAACAAAGGAAUCGAGAGGAGGAUGGCAGAUUACAAGAGGCCACGAUGACCACCAGGCGUCGCCCCAGGCCGCUGUUGCAUCGAGACGCUCCAAACCAUCCUCCAAAAAGGGAAGAAAUCAUUCUUCCUCCUCAUAAGCCAUUUGUAGGCAGCAAGUGGAAUUAGCCAGUUCUCAGACAUGCCUCAUACUUCUCUGCUAUUCCUACUCUGCAGGAAGUGCAAUUUCUCUACGUUUAAAUACUAACUUGGAAUUGUAGUCACAAUCGAUUUGGACUCUAUUUACAUGUUAGGAACAUUGUGUUUAACACUUUCCAUUACAAUUUUUUUCGCAUCUUGAAUGGAUCUAAAAAGAAAUGAAUCUUGGUGGUCUCCAAAUUAGGAAUUUAUUCCCUGACUUGCUGACGCCGUCCCCACCUCAGUCGAGCUCGGCCGUGACCCGGAUAAUGCGGCAGUGACAGGUCACGGGCACGGGUGGACACACAGAGAGCCAGAGACCCUGGCCCUGACCCAGACCUGGAUCCGAAGGCUGCAGCCCCAAGAGGGAGCAUGACCCCACGCUGUACAUGUCUGUGCAGGCUGGGGGUGCCAGCCACCCCUAGAUGUGUGAGGUGCUUUCAUGUGGAACGUCCAGGGGCAUCCCAGGUUAGAGUCCUCAAGUUGACCAUGGGCUGUAGGUCUCUUUCUAACCCUCUGGAACAGUGCUUUGUUCCAUCCUUAAGACAAAACUGAAUUAAAUGAAAACAGAAAACACACGUGCCACAUUGACCUCACUGAGCAGAUGCGCACCCUGGGGUGCAUGCUCCAGGCUGACGCUGUCACACGACCACCCGCCCCGUGCCCACGGCUACCCUCCCAGCCUCGACAGACAAAGGAAUACUGUGGUUGCAAACUCCAAAACUUCCCUGAGAACCUUGUCCAUGAGCUUCCACUGGAGACUUUGAGCUGCUCUUCAGAUUUCUUUCAAAAAACAAAAAUAAAUCACUUUGUAAUACGCCGUGCCUUCCCCUGCACUUGUGUGGGGAGGUCGAGGCCUCCAGCCUGGCAAGCGCAACGAGAAAGACACGGAUUUCCAGGCACCCCUUUGGAUAAGCCCACCUGAGGCCGCCCUGGGCUGCCAACUAGUCACUGCAAGCUAGGAAUCUCCACUGCGGGGGCAGGGCAAGGGAGGCGAACGAUGGAGCCAAGUCGGGGAGCCCCAGGUGUCCCGGUUGGCGGGGUGGCUUCUGGAUGGCGAGGUCUAGACCUGGAUGCCCCUCACAGCCCGUUUGAUGCUCUCCAGGAGGUCCUUGUUCUCGGGGUCCUGGUAGCACUCCUGGUCGGAGUACAUGUCGGUGAGGGUGCUCACGUAGGCAUCAAAAUUCUGCUCACAUAUUGGCUCCUGGAGAACAGAACUGGGUUAGCAAGCUCCAUCCAUGCAAUGGGCCACAUGAUUUUCAGAAGCCACAGAAAUCUACGGAUGAACACAGAACGCCCCCUGAGACAAGCCCACACCUACCAGGGGCACCACUGGCACCCUUGGGCCGAAACAACCAUGAGUAUUCUGCUGUGGAUUCCUAAGCUCUUCAGGAGAUCUAGAGCCACCACGGCCAGCAGCCUGCAGGGCAAAGCACCUGGAUCGGGGCCCUUGUGGCAGAGGGGUGCCCUGCCCUCCUCACCUUCCCCAGAGUCCUGGGGGUCAGCUACCAACCAGCUCAGCUGCGUGCCCGCAGGGCCACAUCCUGCUUACCAUGUGCGGAAGGCGGAUGUUGGCAAGACUUUGGAUGAGGGCCUGGCUCAGGCCCGACAGCUCCAGAAACAGGGCUUCAUUCUGUUCCUCGAUGAGCUUGUUCUCCUCCUCGAUGUUCUUUAGGCUCUUUUCCAUGGAGGAGAUCUGCACCAGACCGAGAUGGGAAAUGCCUCCUGCCAUGGGAGUCCCAUGGACCACAUCCCUCAGGUCCUCCUGGGACACACCCAGCAUGCUAACUGUGCCACACUUCAUGUCUCUCUGGGAGAGGGUGAAGAGGCAGGGACCCUGGUCCCUGGGUGGAGGAGGGGAUGCAGUGACUGAGCCAGGGGCUGUGUGGGGCCAUAGCCUUCUGUGCCACAUCUGUCCUGCAGGGUCACGGAGGAACACAGACUCCAAAGCACCCUGGGCUCAAAUCCCAGCCCACCACUAGCUGCGCAGUUAAGUUCACCAUGUUCCUUCUUCCUUGUCUGUAAUGGGAAUACUGCAUCCACUUUGGGGGGUGUCUGGCCACCUUUGGGUCUUUCCCCCACCAGAAAGACCAACAAAAUGCCUUAAUAAAGCUGUGGAAGGCAAGCAGAACAGGCAACUGCUUCUCCCUCUGCAACUCCUAGCUGAGUGGAGCCAGUCGAUGACCCCUCCAGCACACCCUUACAGUGACAGUGACAACAGGGCUGAUGGUCAGGGGCAGUCCUGAAUGCUCUGGGCAGCUCAGGUGAUCAGAGAGGUGAGUCUCAGGGUCAGCACAAUCCUAUGCAGAGGUUCACAGCCAGUGUGAGGAAGGUGGGAAGCCUGCCCUGGGGCCCGGUCUGGAGAAAACUUGCUUGGGAGGGCAGCUCCCAACCUGACUGCAUCUCAAGGGAGCCUUGGGCUGCGGCAAGCUCACACAAUGUGUGUGACUCAUUGAGCCAUCCCCUAGGUGCACAAAGGUGAGCUGCCUCUUAGGGGGCAAUGCAUGGGGUGGAGUGCUUUCUUCCAACCACAUGGCUGGGAAACAUCAUGCUUCAUCACCUGGUGAAAAGUCUUUGGCUUAAAACAGUUUGAGUAGGAGUUAGGGGCCUGCCUUCUCUUUGCCUGAGACUUUCUGCAGAGCACAGGACUCAAAACUCCCUCUAGAGGAAAGGGGGCUCUGAGUCAGUCCAAAAAGAUGCUAGUGAAUAAAAAGAUGGAAAUCAGCAAAAAAAAAAAAAAAAGAAAGAAAGAAAGAAAGAAAGAAAAGAAAGAAAGAAAGAAAGAAAGAAAGAAAGAAAGAAAGAAAGAAAGAAAGAAAAAGGAAAAGAAAGAAAGGAUUAAAAAAGAAAAGAAAAGACAUCAGAGGUGCUGUCCCAAGGUUACUUCAGGAAGAGAGAGAGCAGUGAGAGACAGAGGGUGGUGGUUACCCAGUGAUGUGUCUCGGCACCCAGAGAUGCCCCAAUACUCCUCUGCUUCUACUGCCUGUGAGCCUGGGGAAGAUGGUGCAUGGCAGACAAAGACCCUUCCUGAUCUCUACGGGCGGAUGCUAUUUUUAUCUAGGCUUCCAAGUCACAGGAGGUCAGCAUAAAAGCCUCUUGGCCAAUGGAAGAAGAGACAGCAUAACAAGAUACAUGGGGCUCUAUUAUGUCACACUGCAGCCUCUGGGAAGGGCUACCUUCCCAUCUGUCCUUUCUGCCCUCAGAUCCUGCAGGGCCCAGUCACCUCCUUGUCCCUCUGUCCCUCCAGCCAUAGGGGACAGAGCUAUGUGUGGCCACUCCUUCUGUGCCCCAGCUCUUGCUCUGGCCCCUUACUCAACAGCUAAGGACAGGGCUUCUUUUCAAAAUAAGACCCUCAUUGCAUUUUUUUUUCUGAUGACCAGUGUUCAUUUGGGGGAAAUCAGAGAGAUAUGACACAUAUACUUAAAGUAAUUUGUAACCCUAUCACCCAACAAUAGUGACUCUUUUGGGGUCAGACACUUUCCCAUAGAAAUGCGUUUAUCUUACAACAACCUCACAGAGUUGAUUCCUAUUAUCAUCCCCAUUCUACCAGUAAGGACAUCAAGGUACAGACUGAUAACAGGUUUGCCAGGUUACUAAGCUGCUAUAUGGCAGCUCUGGGGUAGAAUCAGCCUCCCAGCCAGGUCCUCAGAACCUAGCCUGUGAUCCUACUCCUACUGACAGGGCCAGCAGUCAACCCUGACGGGACCACUAACCCUGAUGGGACCCCCAGCAUGGGCACCCCAGGACCCCUACUGCUAGAAGAACUACCAAAGCUGGCAGGUGUGGCUUGUUCUGAGUGUCCCUGAGAGCUGCACUGUCAGCUCAGCCUAACAGCAACCUUGACGAGCUCAGCUCUCCUGCCUCAUGGAAGAGGAGGCUGAGGACAAGGACCCCCUUGGGUUGGGUGGCAACACCACCCACCUGGGACUGCAGCUGCGCCACCCGCCUGGGACUGCACCUGGGACUACAGUUGUGCCACCCACCUGGGACUGCAGCUGCACCAUGGCGGCCUCCAUCUCAGAGUUGGACUCAUUCAGGUCGCGAAUCUCCUGGUUCAGCUGCUUGAUCUCCUCAUCAUUCUCCAAUACUGCUCCAGAGAAAAACCUUGGUUGUGGCUCUUGGCUUUAUGCCCAGGCCAGCAUGUGGGGGUGCAGUAGAGGCCUAUUUUCUAGGUGGAACAAAGGACCCUUUCCAAACAGAGGUAACCGGCCUGGCAUGCUAGGCAGCUCAUAUCCCACAUGUCAUGCUGGAAAAGUCGGGCUUGGAGACUAGUAGCCAUAUGCCUACAUCUGCCUCCUGACCCUGGGUGAUGGGUAGGAGGAUAUAAAUCUCUCUGUCAGGUAUUAAUCGCUAAGAUAAAGAUGGAAGUUUUCCAGGUGGUGCUGAA